UCUUGCUCUAGAUAUCGGUAGCGUGUGUAAACAUUACAGUGUGUAGGUCCUAAAUCGGAAUCAACGACGACUCAAAAUAAAUAAGUUUAUCCUACAGCUAAAUGAUUUUAUAGAACAAAAUAGGGCUCGUAUAGAAAAGAUAAGGUUUUCUCCACGGAUAUUUUUAGAUAAGGUUUAUCACACAGAUAUUUUUAGAACAUGUACAUAGGGACUACUUUUUUGGACUUUAACGCCUGAUUGCGUCAUUCAGGUCAUUGGGUACGCAGUCGUUGGACGAGUUAACGAGGAGACAACUCUGAGUGGAUUUAGUGAGGUCGGGGGGGUACUCGAUCAGCUACUGCAGUGCGUCUGCAUACAGUUCAGUGUUGAUGCAAUUAUAAUUUCCCAAUAAUUUGCAGAUAUAACUUAUAUGGAAUAUCACAGUGUCAACAGAAACUGGGAUACUGUAUCUCAUCCUGCAUCAAGCUCAAGACUUCUACACCUGGAAUUUUAUUAACUCUUGCAAUUAAUAUUAUACAUCAUCACAGUUACAUAAAUAUGUUCUUUGAAAAAAAUAAAAUAAAGAUACUUCAGUUGUGUGUCUACUUCAUACCCUUACAUUAAAAAAUAUCCUACACAUUCAGAAAUAUAAUAAAAUGGAUGUUGGUUUAAGUUGCUACACAUCCAAUGUUGUCAUGUAACCAUUUAACAUAACAUGUGAUGUGUUGACCUGAAAAUUAACACUGCUAAGAAAACAUUUACUUCGAAUUAAAAUAAGUGUCUCUUGUCAAAUAUCCAUUGGCUAAAUAUCCAUAUGGGUGAAACUUUCACCUGCAUCACAGUCAUCCUUAACUGGUUGUGUGUUGGGCUAUCCCAAUUAACUUCCCGUCAUGGCAGAUUUGUUCAAAGCAAGACAAGUAUCAAUGUUUGAAGAAUUAUUAUUGCUUUUACAGUCUUGACGCUUACCCCUAGCCAGACAGCCCGGGGCUUGUGAUGUGUAUUAAAUUUGGGCUAUUAAAAUUUCCAGAUUCAUAUAGUCGGGUAUUUUAAUCUGUUCUAUUAAAUUUAAUGCAUACAGAUUCGGGCUGCCACUAGUUGUUCAAAAAUGCUAAAGUGAAGACUGCUUGUAUAUGCUGGUUAGUCUGAGACAUUCCAACAAGCAAUAACUGUGACACUCCAAAAACUUGCUCAUUAUAGUGUGUGUAUGUGCAGGAGCUUGUGUGUGUGUGUUUGGUACAAGCUCAUCUCAAAAACUGAUUCACUCUUUAGUUUUUAACCUUAUAGAAGUAAAACCUGACUGUAAAAUGUUUACUUUCAUUGUUAAGAUUUUGUUGUUGGGAUGAAAUAUUAUAAAUUGUAAUCCCUAUGAUUAACACAGAAAACAUUAACCAAACGCUAAUUCCUGUUGAUGUAGCAGAGCCAAAAGAUCUUGAAGUAUAGAUGGUUAAUGGAUGAUGUUCCUUAUGAUAGUACAAGUAGGUACUAGUUGGUUUGUCUUUUUGGAUACAUCUAAUAGUAUAUUUAAUUUUUUUCAUUAAUAAAAUGGGUUAACUUAGUAAUCCUGCUCAGUGGUUGAAUCUUCAGGAAAUGUUAACAUAAGCACAUACAUUGUAUUUGAUACAUGUAUGACGGUGACCCUCAACUGCAAUUUUGGUUACAGACAGGGUAGCCUAAGGUGUAAUUAUUUCUAAGCGAUGAACCAGAGUUGAGACUUAAACUUACCAACCCAUGAGUGAAUCAGAGAUCAGCACUCUACCGGUUUAGCUGGCCAGGUUAAGCUUGAAAUUGGGGACUUACUUUUGCUUAAUAAUGAUCUUAAAUAAUAUUAUAGUUGUCAACAAUUUGAUUUUUAUGUAUUUUAAAAGCACAACAAGUUAGGCUUGCAUCAUAACUAAUAAAAAUAUAUAGAUUAUUAUACAAUUUACAAAACAAACAUAUUUAACAAUAAAGUAGUCUUAUGUGCACUGAAAUGUGCAAAUACCAAUUGGUUUUUAUUUCUGAAAAUUUAGAAAAAUGAGCCUAUAUAAUAAAAAAAUGUUUAUUUUUUAAUAUGUGGGUGGGUUUAAAUGAACUUGCAUUCAAAAAUUAUAAUAGUCAAAGGUUGCUUUAAUUUCUGACAGGUUUCUGCACACAGUACAGUAAUUAAGGUAUGAUUUUGUUAUUUUUGUCAGUAGUUAAUUACGGCGCCGUUAAUUACAAUGGUACUGAACUAUUAUUGAGCAGAUGGUCGUUGAACGUUAUAAUAGAAAUAAUGAUUGUUUUUUUAGUAAUAAAUCGGCAAUUUAUCGCUUUAAUUCUAUUUAUAAAGUCAAUAUAGCGGAUAGGUAAGGUGUGUCAUGUAGAGCGAAUACUGGCAGAACCCCCCCGAACCCUAAAUCUCGCGUUAUCUCGGCAGUCUCGUUACGCGUGAUUUAACAAUGUCGAAAUCGUGAAUGUGACGUAAUUUAAAUGAUGAAACUAGCUAGACGCUUUGGAUUUAAUGACAACAACAAUUCGGACUUGGAUGGUUUUUUAUUUACCAGUUAAAUAUUUUUUAGGCAUUGACCGAUUAGUGUGUGUGUUUAUGAUGGAUUAUGAAUUAUGAAUGUAACAGUGUUGGGAUAUAAAACUGGCAUGAAACUGGUGAGACUGCAUUUUCGAUUUCGUUAACAUGUCGAAUGUUCUCGAAUAACGCGAUGUUUUGACAACUUUUGUUGAACAAUGGAUGGAUUAAAUUUAAGAAAAGUAUCAGUGAAUUGUUCUUUAACUGUUCGAAGGAAAUCGAUGUUGACAGUUGAGUUAAAAGGGUAAUUUCUUUGAUGAAUUAGUCGUUCCUUUGCCAGUCGAUCAAAGAAUGUCUAUUCACAAAGAAAUGCCUGCUUGCAUCCAGUGCGUUGAAAUGGAAAAGAUGGAUGGCGAUAAAGAAAUGUAACCAGAAUUUUAACUCGUCAUGGAAGCCAUUUUUGUUUUCGGUAUUUUACAGAGUUGAAACAAGAAUUGUAGUUUGAACACAACCGUCUGUGUUCUACUUGAGUGUGUAACAUUUGGAAUGCUUAUUAAAUUUGUAUCGAUGCGUAUAGCGAUAUUUUGUCUCGUUACUCUUCUUUUGCGUGGAAUUCUUAAGGACUAUUUCGAGUUCCGUAAACGGGAAAGUUCACAAUUAAUAUUACUACGCAAUGUUAGAUUCAGUUAAUUUAAUGUGUUUUUGCAUUUAUUUUAUAAAUUCAAGACCACUAUUUUUAUUGCAUCAGGAAUAAAUUAAAUUAAAAAAAAUAUUGUAGGAUAAAUAGAAUACUAUGUUAGUGUGAUUGUGUACUUAAAGGGACUUUUUCACACUUUGAUAAAUUGACAAAAUUGAAAAAAAAAUUGUUUGGGAUUUGCAAAUUUUCAUUGUAGUUAUGAUAUUUGCUUUAAAAAAAAAUACCAAAUUGUUUCCAUGCUCUAAAAUUUCCAUUAAAUGCAACUUUUGACGAUUUAAAAACCUGAAAAUUAUAAAGCGUCUCAGACGCGAAAUGUGUUCUUUUUAGUCAGAAAUUGUGAAUGGGAUCCGAACUAGUAUACCAGAAUGCAGCCUGCGCAUGCGCGCUGCGCUUAUCCGCUUUUGGUUUACAAACAAUGCAUCUCAUUUAUGUGAUCGAAAAUAUAAAAAAAGAGAAACAAAAGCCGGAGCCAGCGACAUCGCUCGAAUUUAUUCAAUCUUGGCGACAAGACUGAGUUUUUGCAGAACCAUAGGAGUAUCGUUGGAAGAGACGAAGACAGGGUAAUGACUUGAACACACGAAUUGUAUUUAGGAAGACGUGCCGGCCAAACUAUUGCAAGUUUGACUGUUCAGCAUAAUGUUAGAACAACAAACUCUUCACCUAUGCACGGUCAUCAGCCCCCGCCAGGUCCUGGCCUGUCAUUUGUGUCACAAGGAAGUACCACACCUGGUCAUGUGUCAGGAAUUGGAGAGAUAACAUCUUACUUAGAAGUAAAUUGAAGGCAGCCAACAAUUGGACAGUGGUGCCAAUCAAUGAAAAGAAGGGAUACACGUACAUGCACUGAGUACACAGAGAUCAUCAAGGAAAAAACCCUUCGAUCAAAGUUCCUUUUUGAUUCAGCUUAUCCAAAACUGAUUGCCUCUACAAUUGCCCCUUAUAUAUCCACCUGCGGCUAAUGAGGAGCUGCAAUAUCCAAUAGGUCAAGGGCAAGCAACCCGGAAACAAUAUGAAGAUUUACGCAUACAAAUUGGUACAUGGUGUAUGAAACUAUGUUGUUUUAACUAACUUCAACAUACCAUUAUUAUGAAUUAAAAAAUUGAUAAAGCUGAAAUCAAUGAUAACUGACUAUGGGUAGGAACAUGUUGUGUGAAUUUGGCAGCAUGGUUUUAUAGGAUGUAUACCAUUGAGUAUGAAAGUGCAUGUGUGACCCUGGCUGUUUUUUCAGUCAGUAGAUGACUUUAGUAUUUGAAAUGAUGCUUGAAUUUAUUUGUGUAAUAUGAAGGCGUGACCAAAUGUGUGACAUUAUGGUCGACUGUCUUGUCAUCAUCAUGGUGAUAAAAUGUGAUUUUAAUAAGUGAACUGCUUAUAAACAUAGGGCAGAAAUAUCAUUGACAAAAUACUGAUGAACAUAGCAUACAAGUGCCCUGAAAUGCCAUGAGAAUAUGUAUUUGAGUUUUAAGUGUGUAAGGUAUUGUGAAUUUUGUUAAUUGUUUUGUUAUAAAAAUAUAGGAUCCAAAGUAUUCAAUCAUAGAUCACUCUGAAAGAGAAGAAUAAGUAAAAACCUUGUCUGGCAAAUAACUACAUAAACAAUGGACCAAGUUCCAGAUUUUUUUGUCACAAGUCAAGGCCAUUAACAGGAAUUGUUGACUUAUAGGUGUUAUGUAUCAUGAUUUGUGUUAAGUUUUUUAUGGGAGACCCAUGAUCAAACAUGGUGAAUUAAUUGUUUUGUUAUUACAAUAAAGGAUCCAAAGUAUUUGAUCAUAGGUCACUCUGAAACAGAAGAAUUUGUGAAAACCUUGUCUGGCAAAUAGCUAAAUAAACA